rnacentral:rRNA from 1 species
UACGAAGGGGGCUAGCGUUGCUCGGAAUUACUGGGCGUAAAGCGCACGUAGGCGGCUUUGUAAGUUAGAGGUGAAAGCCCGGGGCUCAACCCCGGAAUAGCCUUUAAGACUGCAUCGCUUGAACACGGGGGAGGUGAGUGGAAUUCCGAGUGUAGAGGUGAAAUUCGUAGAUAUUCGGAAGGAACACCUGUGGCGAAAGCGGCUCACUGGACCAUUACUGACGCUGAGGCACGAAAGCUAGGGGAGCAAACAGG